rnacentral:rRNA from 1 species
UACGUAGGGUGCGAGCGUUAAUCGGAAUUACUGGGCGUAAAGCGUGCGCAGGCGGUCUGUUAAGACCGAUGUGAAAUCCCCCGGGCUUAACCUGGGAACUGCGUUUGAAACUACAAGGCUAGAGUGUGGCAGAGGGGGGGUGGAAUUCCACGUGUAGCAGUGAAAUGCGUAGAGAUGUGGAGGAAUACCGAUGGCGAAGGCAGCCUCCUGGGCCAACACUGACGCUCAUGCACGAAAGCGUGGGGAGCAAACAGG